GUGUGCUCUUGGCCUUGAACCCACCAGCUCCUUGCAUCCAUCGUGAAUUAUGAGAAUGAAGACUUCUUUGGCAGCCUUUCUGGUCAUUGCUGCUGUCUUAUUCCAGGCUCAAGCAAGUCUUGGCUCCCCAUUGGAGUUGUGUUGUUUCACCUUUGUAUCAAAGCCCAUUCCCCCGUCUGUAUUGUUAUCAUAUGAAUAUACAGUUCCAGCAUGCCCUAAGCCUGCAGUUGUAUUUACCACUAGGGGAGGUAGGAAAAUCUGCGCUGAUCCCUCAGUGCAAUGGACCCAGGAUGUAAUUCGCCAUCUGGAGCAAAAAAUAAUACCUUCUACCUCCCCCUAAGGAAUUGAAGAGGAAGCAUAGGCAUCUGUAAAUCGGCAGAGGAGGAAGGAAAAUUAUAUUUUCCCUAUUCGCACAUUGAAUACAGAACCUAUUCAAGUUAUUUCAUAUUUCUACUUUGGAAUGUGUGUGAUAAAAUAUAUUCUGUUUAGACAAAUGUUAGCUCCACUCUCAACUGUUUCCAUCAGCCUCUGCUUCCAGAACUACAUGCUUUAAAAAUCCUCCUGUUCUUAAAACGCUUCAUACGAAUGUUUCAUUUAUAUGCUGUUUGUUUUCCUUAUUGCAAAUAACACUAAAAUACUUUAAUGCAAAUCUUCAGGGUUGGAAAGAUGAGAGAAGGGAUCUUUCAGACAUCAAAUAUCCAUGCCAAAGGUCCUUUUCUUCCUGAGCUUGAUUCUGAAGAAGCAAAGUUACUGCAUACUGAAUACAAUGAAGUGAUUUCCCAAUACAACUGUUUGCUGACCCUGAUUAAAAAGGGCACUUCUCCGAGAGUGAGCAGUUUUUGCAUAUCAAACUCACUUAAGU